rnacentral:misc_RNA from 1 species
UCUCCGUUGGUGAACCAGCGGAGGGAUCAUUACCGAGUUUACGCUCCCAAACCCCUGUGGACUUAUACCUUUACUGUUGCCUCGGCGGGCACGGCUGCGGGCGCUCCCUCGCGGGGGCGCCGGGGCCAGGCGCCCGCCGGAGGACCCAAACUCUUCUGUAUUUUCUUGCGCAUGUCUGAGUGGAUUUACUGUCAAAUGAAUCAAAACUUUCAACAACGGAUCUCUUGGUUCUG